rnacentral:rRNA from 2 species
UGCCUAUACAUGCAGUCGAACGAACUCUGGUAUUGAUUGGUGCUUGCAUCAUGAUUUACAUUUGAGUGAGUGGCGAACUGGUGAGUAACACGUGGGAAACCUGCCCAGAAGCGGGGGAUAACACCUGGAAACAGAUGCUAAUACCGCAGAACAACUUGGACCGCAUGGUCCGAGUUUGAAAGAUGGCUUCGGCUAUCACUUUUGGAUGGUCCCGCGGCGUAUUAGCUAGAUGGUGGGGUAACGGCUCACCAUGGCAAUGAUACGUAGCCGACCUGAGAGGGUAAUCGGCCACAUUGGGACUGAGACACGGCCCAAACUCCUACGGGAGGCAGCAGUAGGGAAUCUUCCACAAUGGACGAAAGUCUGAUGGAGCAACGCCGCGUGAGUGAAGAAGGGUUUCGGCUCGAAAACUCUGUUGUUAAGAAGAAAUAUCUGAGAGUAACUGUUCAGGUAUUGACGGUAUUUAACCAGAAAGCCACGGCUAACUACGUGCCAGCAGCCGCGGUAAUACGUAGGUGGCAAGCGUUGUCCGGAUUUAUUGGGCGUAAAGCGAGCGCAUGCGGUUUUUUAGUCUGAUGUGAAAGCCUUCGGCUCAACCGAAGAAGUGCAUCGGAAACUGGGAAACUUGAGUGCAGAAGAGGACAGUGGAACUCCAUGUGUAACGGUGAAAUGCGUAGAUAUAUGGAAGAACACCAGUGGCGAAGGCGGCUGUCUGGACUGUAACUGACGCUGAGGCUCGAAAGUAUGGGUAGCAAACAGGAUUAGAUACCCUGGUAAUCCAUACCGUAAACGAUGAAUGCUCAGUGUUGGAGGGGUUCCGCCCUUCAGUGCUGCAGCUAACGCAUUAAGCAUUCUGCCUGGGGAGUACGGCCGCAAGGCUGAAACUCACAGGAAUUGACGGGGGACCGCACUAGCGGUGGAGCAUGUGCGUUAAUUACCAGCUACGCGCAUAACCUUAUCAGGUCUUGACAUACUAUGCGAAUCUACGAGAUUAGACGUACCCUUUCGGGACAAUGGAUACACGUGGGGGCCAUGG